GGAGAGAUGGCCGAGUUGGACGAAGGCGCACGAUUGGAAAUCGUGUAUACGUUAAUAGCGUAUCGAGGGUUCGAAUCCCUCUUUCUCCGCCA
rnacentral:tRNA from 1 species